rnacentral:rRNA from 1 species
UACGGAGGAUGCAAGCGUUAUCCGGAAUGAUUGGGCGUAAAGCGUCCGCAGGUGGCAAUGUAAGUCUGCUGUCAAAGCGUCUGGCUCAACCAGAUAAAGGCAGUGGAAACUACAUAGCUAGAGUAAGGUAGGGGUAGAGGGAAUUCCUGGUGUAGCGGUGAAAUGCGUAGAUAUUGGGAAGAACACCAGCGGCGAAAGCGCGCUACUGGGCCAUUACUGACACUCAUGGACGAAAGCUAGGGGAGCGAAAGGG